rnacentral:rRNA from 1 species
AGCGUAGACGGUGUGGCAAGUCUGAUGUGAAAGGCAUGGGCUCAACCUGUGGACUGCAUUGGAAACUGUCAUACUUGAGUGCCGGAGGGGUAAGCGGAAUUCCUAGUGUAGCGGUGAAAUGCGUAGAUAUUAGGAGGAACACCAGUGGCGAAGGCGGCCUACUGGGCACCAACUGACGCUGAGGCUGAAAGUGUGGGUAGCAAACA